rnacentral:rRNA from 1 species
GAUAAACGCUGGCGCUGCAAAAAAGACAUGCAAGUCGAACGAACUCAACCUUUAGUUUACUAAUGGAGCGGUUAGUGGCGGACUGGUGAGUACCACGUAAGCAACCUGCCUAUCAGAGGGGAACAACAGUUAGAAAUGACUGCUAAUACCGCAUAUGCCUUAAGUAUCGCAUGGUACAAGAGGGAAAGGAGCAAUCCGCUGAUAGAUGGGCUUGCGUCUGAUUAGAUAGUUGGUGGGGUAACGGCCUACCAAGUCGACGAUCAGUAGCCGGACUGAGAGGUUGAACGGCCACAUUGGGACUGAGAUACGGCCCAGACUCCUACGGGAGUUUUUUUUUUUUGGGAAUAUUGCGCAAUGGAGGAAACUCUGACGCAGUGACGCCGCGUGGAGGAAGAAGGUUUUCGGAUUGUAAACUGCUUUAGACAGGGAAGAACAAGGACAGUACCUGUAGAAUAAGCUCCGGCUAACUAC